rnacentral:misc_RNA from 1 species
UAAAAUGUUUGACCAUUUUCCAUAAAUAAAAUAGCAAAUGAAACACUAAAAUAAAAUAUUUUAGUAUUGUCACUUCCAUAUUGUUAGGUAGAUAAAGCCAAAUGCAACAAGCUUGGGAAAAUGAGGAUGCAGAAUAUAGUGGUACCACAAGUAUUACUCCUAAAAUGAACCUUGCUUACAAUAACAGAGUAUAUUUGACAUGCCUGAACCCAAACGCUGCAUCUGUUUCUCAUCUCAAAGAUGAGAUAAAUUGGAAGACUCUGCAGUCCGACAUAUUUAUACUGAAAGUUGAUAUAUCUUACCCUACUUCACCUACAACAUCAACAAACUAAGAGAAAAUAACUGGCAACUGAUUGCAUGCUUCAGAAACAGAAAAUCAAUUAAUCAUCGGUAGGGCCAUGUGAAGCUUUAGGGAUGGUGCUUUCUGGAGGGAACAGUAAAGGAUCUUGCUGUUGCUCAUAUGUAUCACAUAUACUCAAAACUCCUUUAUCUUCAUUGCUGGCUUUCACAGGAAAUAGUGAGAGGUAUAUCAGAAAUUGUCACCCACAUACAAAAACUGCACCAAGGAUGAUGAGACAACCUACAGGACCUAGUAGUCUCUUUUGUUAGGGCAUUCAGAUGCUCGGUGACCACUGCGCCCACAAUUGAAACAUGCACCACCAAAGCUUCUGUCUCUGCUUCCUCCAGAAAAAGACCUGCUAGAGCGCUUAUCCCUAUCACCACUGAUCAGCCAAUCACUUCCUCCCCUUCUUGUCCGGCCACCUCGCGACCUAGAGUCAUUCCCCCAAUUAUCAUCAUCAUUAUCAGAGUAACGGCCACUAGAAGAACCCUGGGAAUAUCUGCCUCUACGGUCUCUUAAACCUCCUCGUGUCCCCCUAGUAUCCCUGCUUGAAAACCUCCCAUAGAAAUCACCAGCUGGCCCAUCGUCUUGUAAAGCAGGUAACUUGGUAAUCUUGGAAAUAGUAUUUCCAGGAGGUAAUUCCUGAUUUAGUAGAUCUGCAGCAGUCUCCUCAGGAAGAUCAAAGAUGGCCCCCUGAACCCUUUCAUCUGCAAUUAGGUGAAUUUUGCCAACUUCAUCAGCAGCUGGUGAAUAGACAUCAGAGAGGAAACCAGUAACAGAUCUUGCCGACAGGAAUCCUCGGGAAGUUUCAGAAUCACGUGUCAGCUGUAAUGUAGUCCACCCCUGUUCAUGAGUUAUUAGAGAUCGAGAAGAUGGCGGUUUGGAAAAUCCACCCAAAAGAGCAAGUGCAGCAGCAAGGGAAUUCACUCCUUGUUGCUCCAUCAACUGUUGCGCAGUUGGAAUGAAGUACUCAACAGAUUCGGGAUGAACUCCAUUAAGUGCAGCCACCACAUGUUCAGCUGAUGACUCUAAAACCUCUUUGACAGAUGGAGGACUAACGAAUUCAAACUUGCACCCAACAUCACGUUCGAGAGAUCUGACAGUUCGCCUUUGACUACCUGUGUACAUCAGAAUAGCAAUGCCUUCUUUUCCAGCACGGCCAGUUCGACCAGAGCGAUGAACAAAAGUUUCUGGAUCGUUGGGUAAUUCAUAAUGGAUUACUAAGUCAACAUUAGGUAUAUCAAGACCACGAGAUGCAACGUCAGUCGCAACAAGCACAGUGAAUUUUCCUUGCCUAAAUCCAUUUAGUGUUCUUUCCCUCUGAUGUUGAGAAAUGUCACCAUGCAAUGCCUCAGAAGAAAUGCUAUUUGAUAAUGCCAUUGAAACCUCAUCAGCAUCUCGUUUUGUCUGUGUAAAAAC